rnacentral:lncRNA from 1 species
UUUUCUGCAUUCCGAUCAGCCAAAAACGUCCUAAGGGUUUCUUCAAGCUGGUUUUUCAUAAUUUUUGCACCAAGUGAGUUAAUACUUGCCUUUUUCUUGUAAUUUUUGUAUUUCUAAGACUUUUACAACUAGGUCCUAUUACUAAAUGCAUUAGUUUUUGAUUUUAUGAAUGAAUUUUAAAGUUGCUAUGAAUAUGUGCUGGAAUUUUAUGAUGAAAUAGGAUGAAAUUGAAGCUUUAAUUUGUUUGUGAGAUGAUUUUAUUAGGUAAUUUCAAUAGAAAUUGAUUUGUAGGACCUAAUUGUGAAAAUGUUUGGAAUCAAAGUCUAGUGCUGAAAUUCUGAUUUACAAAGGUUAUAAAGUAGUCUAAACUGAUGGGAUAAAGUGUUAAUUGAGAAAAAUCAGCUCAAUUGAGAGGUUAAUUGAGCAGGGAUGAAAUUAUCAUUUAUUGAAAGUUUAGGGAAAAAUGGUAAUUAACAUCAUAUACUAAAACAGUUUUGGACAGCAGCAGUACUCUAAUUUUGAAAAAUCACCAAAAAUUGUAGAGAUCGAAUUAGAGGAUUAAUAAAAUAUGAAAUUAAAGCUUAUUGAGUCUAGUUUCUUAUAAAAGAAAAGGUGUAAGUAAUGGAAUUGUAAAUCAUGAGAUAUAAUAGAUUUUGUGAGACAAGGUCAGAAUGAAUUCGGGUUCCCCUGUUCUGACUUUGGAAAAUCAUUAAAAAUUGUACAAAAAUGAUUAUGAGUUAAAAUUUAUAUGGUUAGAAUCCUUAAUAAGUAUAUUUUCAGAAUAAACAAAUGGAAACAUCAUCCAAAUUCUGUACUAUGAGAUAAUUAAUUUUUAGUGAAGAGAGGUCGGAACUGUCGAACAGUGAAACAGGGGAAACUUUAAAGAAUAAACUGUACUUAUUUGCUAAACCAAAAAUUCUGAAACUUUUAUGGUAAGAAUAUAUGUGAGUUUAGUUUCAGGGAAAAUUAACGGAUCUUAAGUUGGAGUUUCGUAGCUCAAGAUAUAAAUAAUUUAGUGACUGUGACUCAGUGAGACAGCUUUGAAUGCACUACAAAUAAUAAUGGAAUUAUAGAGAAUGUCACAUAUGAACAUGAAAAGUAUUAGAUUAAUGAUUAAAUUUAUUUAUUUAGAUCCGGAAAAUUCAAAUACGAAGCAAGAUCGAAGAAAAUAAAAAGUUCGGGAUUAGUAGAUUUUUGGUUACGAACAAGUGUCGAGGUAAGUUCGUGUAACUUGAAUUAUAUUCCUAAAUGUUUGAAAUGUUUGUUAUUGAUGUGAAUAUGAUUUGGAUGUUUAUUGUAUAAUAAUUGAUGAAGUAAUGAUAUUCUUGAUGAAAAGAGAAAAUAAAUCUUGGUUGAAUGAAAGGAAAAUUCGAUGGAUCUCUGAAAAGGAAUUGACGGUAAAAAGGAUCUAGCCCGGACGGGUGAUCCUAUUCUGAUAUAGCCCUCCCGAAGAAUAUGUGGAAAAUAGAUUUAGCCCGGACGGGUAAUCCGAAUUAGGGUCUGAAUUUAUCCUGGACUGGUAAUUCAGAUCCAAGCUCAUUAGAGUAAUUGUCGUUGCAGGGGAUUUAGCCUGGACUGGUAAUCCCGACAAUACUCUGUGAGUUUAUAUUACAGGGGAUUUAGCCUGGACUGGUAAUCCCGCUGUAAGGAUGAGGUUCGCGGGAGUGUGUUCUCUGAAAUGGAAAUGUGCACACAUGAAUAUGAAUUGACGGACCCGGAUUUGUACACUAAAGUGUACCUCUGAAAAUCCAUCGAAAUUCCAAGUAGUUCAAUGGGAUAAAUAUGGAAAAAUAACAAGGAAAUGGAAAUCAUGGAAUUGAUGAGCUCAUUAAUCAUGGUAUAAAUUAUUGAUACAUGGAAAUUAUUGGACUAAUUUGAAUGUUGAGUUUGUGCAUGAUAGGGGAAUAAUGUAUGGAAUGGGUGUAUGAAUGUUUAUUACAUUGUAUGGAAAAUAUUAGGUAAGUAUAAUUCUUGUUACAUGAGCUUACUAAGCACAAAGUGCUUAUCCUGUUUCUUUUUCCCCUGUUUUGUAGUGUUAAGGGCUCGGAGGUCGGAUUUGGUCGGAGACGCAUCACACUAUCAACCUCAAAUUCUCGGUAUAUAAAGAAACUUUAUUUUAGAAAUCAAUGGCAUGUAUAAGCUAGUAAAGUAGAUGUUAAUGUGAAAUGAAUGUAUGGUUAGCCAUUGGUAUGGCUAACAAAUUUUGGUUUUGGCAUGUGAUGAGAUUAUCUUAUGAAUACAAUAAAUCUAUCUUGAAAAUAUGUUGAAAUGGA